rnacentral:rRNA from 1 species
UACGUAGGGUCCAAGCGUUAUCCGGAAUCACUGGGCGUAAAGCGUGCGUAGGUGGCGUGUUAAGUGUGAUGUUAAAUCGUGUGGCUCAACCAUAUCGAUGCAUCACAUACUGGCAUGCUAGAGGGAAGCAGAGGCAAGUGGAAUUGGUAGUGUAGCAGUGAAAUGCGUAGAUAUUCGGAGGAACACCAGUGGCGAAGGCGGCUCACUGGUCCAUUACUGACGCUGAGGUGCGAAAGCGUGGGGAGCAAACAGG